rnacentral:ncRNA from 1 species
AUAAUGAUACUCCCGCCUUGAACGCUUCACAGCAUUGGGCGGCUGGACUAAACCAGUGCAGGGGUGAAAUUCCCGUG